GAUUAUGGCUCAGGAUGAACGCUAGCGGCAGGCUUAACACAUGCAAGUCGAGGGGCAGCGGGUGUAGCAAUACAUGCCGGCGACCGGCGCAAGGGUGCGUAACGCGUGAGCAAUCUGCCCGUAUCAGGGGGAUAAGCGAUGGAAACGUCGUCUAAUACCGCAUAACACAUUGGAUGGCAUCGUCUGAUGUUGAAAGCUUCGGUGGAUACGGAUGAGCUCGCGAGACAUUAGUUAGUUGGCGGGUAACGGCCCACCAAGACCGCGAUGUCUAGGGGAACUGAGAGGUUGGUCCCCCACACUGGAACUGAGACACGGUCCAGACUCCUACGGGAGGCAGCAGUGAGGAAUAUUGGACAAUGGUCGGAAGACUGAUCCAGCCAUGCCGCCGUGAAGGAAUAAGGUCCUAUGGAUUGUAAACUUCUUUUGAGAGGGAGCAAUAAGGUGUACGCGUACACCGAUGAGAGUACCUUUCGAAUAAGCAUCGGCUAACUCCGUGCCAGCCGCCGC
rnacentral:rRNA from 1 species